rnacentral:piRNA from 1 species
UUGGAGAGGCAAAGGCAGGUGGAUCU